UUUUUGUCGAGCCUGCGACUUUUGUCGCAGAAAGCUCGACAUAGGGAUAGCGAUCCGGCGGCGGCGGCGGCGUUAGCUAACUUCUUAAAAGCUUUAUAUUUUAGAAGAUGGAAGACCUGGAUGCUUCAUACUUUGUAUAUGGAUGCCUCAUGUUACGAAGUUUCCGUCAGUCACAUGUCCAAUGUCCUUGACCUCAUUUUCAUGGUUCAGUGACUACUUGAAAAAAAAGUUCAGAUUUUUUGUAAUGUUAAAUUCUCUCUUAUUAUAAGUAAUAGGAUAACUAUAUUUGGUAUGUGCGUACCUUGCAAGGUCCUCAUGCCCGUCAGACAGUUUUCACUUGACCUCGACCUCAUUUCAUGGAUCAGUGAACAAGGUUAAGUUUUCGUGGUCAAGUCCAUAUCUCAGAUACUAUAAGCAAUAGGUCUAGUAUAUUCGGUGUAUGGAAGGACUGUAAGGUGUACAUGUCCAACUGGCAGGUGUCAUCUGACCUUGACCUCAUUUUCAUGGUUCAGUGGUUAUAGUUAAGUUUUUGUGUUUUGGUCUGUUUUUCUUAUACUGUAUGCAAUAGGUCUACUAUAUUAGGUGUAUGGAAUGAUUGUAAGGUGUACAUGUCUAGCUGGCAGGUGUCAUCUUACCUUGACCUCAUUUUCAUGGUUCAGUGGUCAAAGUUAAGUUUUUGAGUUUUGGUCUUUUUUUCUAAUACUAUAUGCAAUAGUUCAACUAUAUUUGGUGUAUGGAAAUAUUUUAUGAUCUAUAUGUCAGUCACGCAGGUUUUAUUUGACCUUGACCUCAUUUUCAAGGUUCAUUGCUAAGUGUUAAGUUUUUGUGUUUUCGUCUGUUUUUCUUAAACUAUAAGCAAUAGGUCAACUAUAUUUGUUGUAUGGAAGAAUUGUUAGCUGUACAUGCCUGCCUAGCAUGGUUCAUCUGACCUUGACCUCAUUUUCAUGGUUCAUUGGUCAAUGUUUAGUUUACUUGGUUAAUGUGAAGUUUAUGUGACAGUUGUAAUAAAGCUUUAUAUUUAGGACUAUCAACAUAAUAUCAAUGAUUAGUAAAGAAGGCGAGACAUUUCAGGGUGUGCACUCUUGUUUUUAUUUAAUAG